AGUCUGACCUACCCUUUCAUAUACUAUAUUGAACGGCCGCGAUAAUUUGAUCGUACAAAGGUAGCAUAAUCAUUAGUCUUUUAAUUGAGAACUGGAAUGAAAGGUCGAACGAGAAAAAGACUGUCUCAAUUUAAUUUAAUUAGAAUUUUAUUUUUAAGUAAGAAAGCUUUAGUUUUUUUAAAAGACGAGACGACCCUAUGGAGUUUUAUAAUUAUAGAUUUAUUUUUUAGUUUAAGAAUUUUAUUUUAAAAUUAGUUAAUAAUUAUUUGAUUGGGGCGAUUGAAAAAUAUAAUAAACUUUUUUUAUAUAAGUACAUUUAUAUAUGAUUAAUUGAUCCAUAAUUUAUGAUUGAACGAUUAAAUUACCUUAGGGAUAACAGCGUAAUUUUUUUUGAGAGUUCUUAUAGAAAAAAAAGUUUGCGACCUCGAUGUUGGUGUAAAAUAAACUUAAAAUAAACUUAAAAUAAACUUUUGGUGUAAAAGCUAAAAUACUUAGGCCUGUUCGACCUUUAAAAUUUUACAUGAUCUGAGUAUAAACCGGUGUAAGCCAGGUUGGUUUCUAUCUUCAA
rnacentral:rRNA from 1 species